rnacentral:rRNA from 1 species
UACGUAGGGUGCGAGCGUUGUCCGGAAUUAUUGGGCGUAAAGGGCUCGUAGGCGGUUUGUCGCGUCGGGAGUGAAAUCCACUGGCUUAACUGGUGGCUUGCUUUCGAUACGGGCAGACUGGAGGUAUGCAGGGGAGAACGGAAUUCCUGGUGUAGCGGUGAAAUGCGUAGAGAUCGGGAGGAACACCAGUGGCGAAGGCGGCUACCUGGACCAGCACUGACACUGAGGCACGAAAGCGUGGGGAGCAAACAGG